AAAGAUGUCUUCCUCCCACUCCUGAAAUAACCCACAGCAUUUUCGCAUUAAACCUCUGAGCUCAGAGUGGUCGGGGAGGAGGAAACCGUCGGGAUCGGCCCUUCCUCAGCCCCUUCCCCUGCUAAGAGGGACCCCGGAGCUGUGGAGAGGACCCUCCGUGCUCUGUGGGGUUUGGAGACCCGGGAUCGUAGAAUUCCAGGCUCUGCUGUGGUCCCCUCACCACCGCACCGAGGAGCCGUGGGUCCCAGCUGCAAAACCAGGGCUUGCAAAACCAGAGCUGAUGCACGCCAAGGAAUGACACGGACUUAGCGGGGCUGCUCUCCCCAUCGCCAGCUGCUGCUGCGGUCGGCCGCGGCUGAUUUGCCGAAGGGAUUCCUCUCCUGGCACUGCAGGAUUUGUGCCCGUGGGGAUGUGGGCCCAGCGUGGGGUUGGCAGCAGCGGGCGGCUGUCCGUGUGUGCCUCGUUAAGGCGCUGUGAUGUGGGGGCGUGGGGUGCCGACCCCACCGGCGGGCGCUUUGUGGGGCAGAGGGGGGAAUUUGGGUGCUGCACCAUUCCCAUGCCCGGGCUUGGAAACGUGGGCAGCGCACGUGAGCGCAGUGCUGGGGCUGAUUCGGGAGCAAUCCCUGCCAAGCAGCCCAAAUCCUCCUUUUCCCACCCAAAUACGGCCUCAGCCAAGAAACGGGCCGUAUCCACGGCAACGCCGGCGCGUGGUGGCUGCGCUGCGAUCCGCCGCUCAUCCCAAUGGGAGCGCCGGGACCGCGGCUGCGCUGGGGGCGAUGGGGGCCGCCCCGGGGGUUGGGGGGUCUCGGAGCAGCGCAGAGAUGCUUCGCUGCCCCCUACUGACACGGGACCGCCGGCACCGGGACCCCAGCAGGGUGGGAUGGGAUGGGAUGGGAUGGGAUGGGAUGGGAUGGGAUGGGAUGGGAUGGGAUGGACGGUCGGGUUUGGAGCUGCAGCAUCCAUCUCCUGGCAUCCCUCUCUGCGAUGCCUUUUGCUGCAAGGAUGUGGUUUUGCCGUCUGUCCUCCCCCCCCCCCCUCCCUGCAGCAUGUCAGCAGCUCCAGCAGGCUCCUGCCUGGAAAAAACUGGGGAAAACUGGAAAGGAAAUGGGUUCUCCAACCCCAAAUGCCUGCAGGAUGCACGCGCUGUGCUGAGGCUUUGAGGAUCUGUGGGGCAGGGUGACUGCUUUGGGCACAGCGCAACCUUCUGGAGCACCAAUCCGCCCCAUCGGCACAGGGCCGUCGCUCAGUGCUUUGGCCGUAGUGCACAUAUUCCAUCCCACGGCGCUCGAUUCAUCCUCGCAGGCCGUGAACGUCUCCCUCCAGGCAACCAUAACACAACUCUGACCCGGCAGAGGGAUGCUGUGAGCCGAGCCCUGCACUGAAGGGGAAAGAAGAACCGGACAGCAGAACUGUGUGCCUUCAGUUAAUGAACGCAGCACGAUGCCAAAGCGCUGGCAGUGCGCGGCUCCAUCGCUCACCCCGCUGUGCCGGGGCUGCUCUGUCCCCAUUUCCCCUUUUUGGAGGUGAUUUCCCCACCAGCAUCCAUCCAUCUCCCGGGUUGCGGCAGCCGCUGCGCGAUUAUACGCCUCCGUUCUGUAAUUACCUCUGCUCGCGCUAAUUGUGUAAUUGGAAGAGGCAAUUACCUGGU
ensembl:lncRNA